GACAGAGGGGGCAAGCGUUGCUCGGAAUCACUGGGCGUAAAGGGCGCGUAGGCGGGAUGGCAAGUCAGUCGUGAAAUCUCUCGGCUCAACCGAGAAACGUCGGCUGAUACUGCCGUUCUUGAGGGAUGCAGAGGAGACUGGAAUUCCCGGUGUAGCGGUGAAAUGUGUAGAGAUCGGGAGGAACACCGGUGGCGAAGGCGGCUCUCUGGGACGGUACUGACGCUGAGACGCGAAAGCGUGGGGAGCGAACAGG
rnacentral:rRNA from 1 species